rnacentral:rRNA from 1 species
GCUGGAAUCGCUAGUAAUCGCAGAUCAGAAUGCUGCGGUGAAUACGUUCCCGGGUCUUGUACACACCGCCCGUCACACCAUGGGAGUUGGAAAUGCCCGAAGUCGGUGACCUAACCGAAAGGGAGGAGCCGCCGAAGGCAGGUCUGAUAACUGGGGUGAAGUCGUAACAAGGUAGC